AGCGAACGCUGGCGGCAGGCCUAACACAUGCAAGUCGAACGCACCUUCGGGUGAGUGGCGGACGGGUGAGUAACACGUGGGAACGUACCUUUAGGUUCGGAAUAACGCAGGGAAACUUGCGCUAAUACCGAAUGUGCCCCCUCCUUUGACUAGGGGGUGGGAAAGAUUUAUCGCCUUUAGAGCGGCCCGCGUUAGAUUAGCUAGUUGGUGGGGUAAUGGCCCACCAAGGCUACGAUCUAUAGCUGGUCNGAGAGGA
rnacentral:rRNA from 1 species